rnacentral:lncRNA from 1 species
UUGAUUGGGUUGUGAAGAUCGGAGUUCAUCCGCUUUCUUGUGACGUCUGGCGUGCAUGCAAAGUAAAGGAUCUACACAUCCAGGCCUCUUUGAAGGUUUAAUUCAGAUUAUUUAAGAUUUGAUUUCUGAUUCUACUGCUAAUCAGGUAAGAAUUUGAUCCUUAAUUAUGUAGAUUAAUAGAAAAUUUUUAGAUGCAACCUGAGC